rnacentral:rRNA from 1 species
GACGAACGCUGGCGGCGUGCUUAACACAUGCAAGUCGAACGGUGAACCAGAGCUUGCUCUGGGGAUCAGUGGCGAACGGGUGAGUAACACGUGGGCAACCUGCCCAGACUCUGGGAUAACCUCGGGAAACCGAUGCUAAUACCGGAUACGACCACUUCGGACAUCCGACGGUGGUGGAAAGUUUUUCGGUCUGGGAUGGGCCCGCGGCCUAUCAGCUAGUUGGUGGGGUAAUGGCCUACCAAGGCGACGACGGGUAGCCGGCCUGAGAGGGCGACCGGCCACACUGGAACUGAGACACGGUCCAGACUCCUACGGGAGGCAGCAGUGGGGAAUAUUGCACAAUGGGCGAAAGCCUGAUGCAGCGACGCCGCGUGAGGGACGACGGCCUUCGGUUGUAAACCUCUUUCAGCAGGGACGAAGCGAAAGUGACUGUACCUGCAGAAGAAGACACCGGCUAACUACGUGCCAGCAGCCGCGGUAAU